GACGAAUGCUGGCUGCGUGCUUAACACAUGCAAGUCGAACGGUGAAGGAGGGCUUGCCCUCCGGAUCAGUGGCGAACGGGUGAGUAACACGUGGGCAACCUGCCCCUCACUCUGGGAUAACGCCGGGAAACCGGCGCUAAUACCGGAUACGACCAGGCGCGACAUCCAGCCUGGUGGAAAGAAUUUCGGUGAGGGAUGGGCCCGCGGCCUAUCAGCGAGUUGGGGGGGUAACGGCCCACCAAGGCGACGACGGGUAGCCGGCCUGAGAGGGCGACCGGCCACACUGGGACUGAGACACGGCCCAGACUCCUACGGGAGGCAGCAGUGGGGAAUAUUGCGCAAUGGGCGAAAGCCUGACGCAGCGACGCAGCGUGAGGGACGAAGGCCUUCGGGUUGUAAACCUCUUUCAGCGGGGACGAAGCGAAAGUGACGGUACCCGCAGAAGAAGCACCGGCUAACUACGUGCCAGCAGCCGCGGUAAUAC
rnacentral:rRNA from 1 species